CUGGGUGCCGGCGGCUGGCUCAGGUGCAGGGCCAGGCCCAGGUGGAGGUGGGGGAUCGGAGGAGCGGAGGAGGAGGGUGCCGGCGCGGGCCGCCGGCGUCCGAAGCCCAGCUUCCCCCCGGGGUGCCGCGCGAGGCCGGGCGCCCAGGUGGGGCGGUAGCUGUCAAGGGGGCGGGAAUGGGGGUGUCCCGACCCUGCCCGGCCCAGCUCUGCCCGGCAGCCGGGCCGGAACAGCUGCGGACAGUCCCACAAGCUGUUUUCCUCGUGGCGACCAUUCAGCAAAACGCACGAUCCUUUCUCAAAGAUUUAAAUUUCGCGGAUGAAUUACCAUACACCGGUUGCUUAGCAACUAAAUUCAAGCAGGGCUGAGAAUAUGCAAGCUUUUUGUAUUCUCAUUAAUAAAAAUGCCACUCUGACACAGCAACCCGACUUUGGAUCACUGCAACUUCUGUAAAAGCCGUAGGAGAAUACAAACCGGUCCUGCCAUUUAAUUACAGAUCAGAAUGGCUUGAAACGCGAUGUUUUGUUCAUCUAUCUUCCUAAAAGCGAUGUAAAAAAUAACGGCUUUUCAAGAGCACUAGUAAAUUCUUCUUCUUUUUUUUAAUGGAGUUGUCUAUCGGGGUUACUGAUAAUUGUCAACUGAAACUUUUGGAAACAGGUUGAAAUUUCCCCCUUCGUCAUUAAUGCUCAAUCCUUCAGCCCACAGCCUCUGACCCUGCGCUCCGUUCACAGCCUAAUAAUUACAAUUACUGCCCUGAUUCUGGAACAGCUCGGGCCUCGGGAGCCCUGGAACUUAAAGGACAGUUGGCACAGCAAUCGACAAGGCCCGUGGCUGGAAAAAAACCUAAGGACUUGAGGACUUGUGGGAGUUUCGUGGGGAGGCUGAGAGGUCGCCUGAGCGGCUCAGGCUCCGGGCGUCCAGAGACAACUUCUUGGAGGGCACAGGGGAGAAAGGGCAAUCGCCCUCUGCUCCACGUUUGCGGAUUUUCCGUCCUGGGCCUGGCCUCCUCUGCCGGGAAUUUGGUCGCCGCCUCCCCGUGCGGACGAUGGAGUGGAGAGGGCUGAGCCCCGGACCUGCUGGCCGACUGUCUCUGGGCCCCACGCCCGAGGGCCCUGGAGGAAGAACGCAGGUGGAGCUGGAGCCACGGGUCUCCCAAGGGCUUUCAGCAUUACCAGAGCAACUGGAGAGAGAACACACCCCGCCUUGAGCCACUCAAUUCUGCAUCCAAGCCAAAUAGCCACCACCAUCAAUUACACUUUGCAUAACUUGACACGGCCAGAAAUGAAGACUCCGUUAUUUACCAGAAGUAGAAAUAAACUUCACUGAAAGAAAUAAAUGCAACUUUGACCAUGGGAUACCUACUGGCCCUCUGAAAACAUCACCUCUGUCUUCCCACCCCCUUUACUGGGGUGGAGUGCUGUAAAAAUCCAACGCAGCAGAAUUUUGAAAGAGCGUGAUCACCUGGAGCGGGUUUGGAGUCCUCAACUCCAAUCAUUAGUAAUAAAGUCUUUAAUAGUCAUAA